rnacentral:ncRNA from 1 species
UUUCAGGCAACGAAGAGUUUGCAGUAAUAAAUGUGUUCCCUGCAUAGAGAGCUAGCGGUUGGUGAAAGCUAGACAUAGCGCAUUUAUGAAUUACGUACUUGGAGCCUGAACGGAUCGUCACGUUAUAGACGCUUAAAGUGGAAGAAAGAGAUUUAAAUUUCUUCAAGCCGGGUGGUACCGCGUUAAAUAAAAAUUUGACGUCCCUGCA